rnacentral:rRNA from 1 species
UACGAAGGGGGCUAGCGUUGUUCGGAAUUACUGGGCGUAAAGCGCACGUAGGCGGAUUUGUUAGUCAGGGGUGAAAUCCCGGGGCUCAACCUCGGAACUGCCUUUGAUACUGCAAGUCUCGAGUCCGGAAGAGGUGAGUGGAAUUCCUAGUGUAGAGGUGAAAUUCGUAGAUAUUAGGAAGAACACCAGUGGCGAAGGCGGCUCACUGGUCCGGUACUGACGAUGAGGUGCGAAAGAGUGGGGAGCAAACAGG